rnacentral:rRNA from 1 species
UACGUAGGCAGCGAGCGUUGUUCGGAAUUACUGGGCGUAAAGAGUGUGUAGGCGGCGCUCUAAGCUCGGUGUGAAAUCUCUCGGCUUAACUGGGAGGGUGCGCCGGAAACUGGAGUGCUCGAACGUGGGAGAGGAAAGCGGAAUUCCUGGUGUAGCGGUGAAAUGCGUAGAUAUCAGGAGGAACACCUGCGGUGUAGACGGCUUUCUGGACCAUUGUUGACGCUGAGACACGAAAGCGUGGGUAGCAAACAGG